rnacentral:rRNA from 1 species
ACUUUCAACAACGGAUCUCUUGGCUCUCGCAUCGAUGAAGAACGCAGCGAAAUGUGAUAAGUAAUGUGAAUUGCAGAAUUCAGUGAAUCAUCGAAUCUUUGAACGCAUCUUGCGCUCGCUGGUAUUCCGGCGAGCAUGUCUGUUUGAGUGUCGUGAACUCUUCAACCCCCCCUUUUUCUUAUGGAGAUUGGGGCGCGGCUUGGUUUCUGAACGUUUGCUGGACUGGGAUUCC